GAAACUGGUAUCCCCACCGUCAUGGUAAGGAACAGUUUUAUUCACAUUUUUAUCAUGGCAUCAAAAAAUCCACAAAGCUUUGAGUUCACAUCUUCAAUACCAAGUUUCCACACUUCAUAACAUCAACAUUCCUUGUACAACAUGUAGAUGGCUAACCAUUCAUAGCAACAGGCUUUUACAUUCCAUUUUAUAUUCCUGUAUUGACUGUAUCCAAUAUUCGUUAUUAGCACCUAUAUGAUUUGCUAAUACCAAGGGUUAAGAGCAAUCGUGUGGAAUCUACCCUACUUGGCAAUAUUAUUAGGAGGAUAAGAAGGCCAUCACAAUAAAGGUAGCCCAAACACCACAGCUUUUUCUUCAACGUCUUAGAGGCAGAACAGCUUGAAAAUAACAUACAACCAAUGUUUUUAGGAACAAGCACACGAUAAGGAAAUAACUAAAAAUAUUUCACAGUAACUGACAUAACAGUUUUUCAUUUUUUCUGCAUACCAAUCACCAAUACCAAUAUCAAAGGCUAUUUAACUACUCGCACAUGUAGUAAUAGUUUUUGUAAAAGUCCUCUUUUUCCCUAAUCUUUUGUGAGUGGUCUUUCAAAGUCUGGAGAAUGCAGAAAACCACAAACACUGAGAGGUAAAUUGUGAAUUCCAUGUUAAGAUGUACAGCAAGGCUGGGCAGUGGUGGCGCACACUUUUAAUCCCAGCAACUCAAGGCAGAGGCAGGCAGAUGUCUUGAGUUGAGGCUAGCCUGGUCUACAGAGCCAGGCCCAGGACAGCUAGAGCUCCACAGAAAAACCCUGUCCUGAAAAACAAAACAAAAAGAUGUACAGCAGGACCCGAAGCAUAAACUCAACUUCUUUGGUAUUUCUUUAGAGGCAAAAACAAAUAAAAAAGGUAACAACUUCCAACCUUUCUAUCAGCCAUUUUCUCAUUUCUUUUGGUGCCAACUCUCAUGAGUAAGGGGGCUCUUUUCCAGUUUUACUCCCUGUCCUUCAACUCUUCAGCCUUCACCCAAACAUUAGAGCCCAUGAGGCACCAUAGCAGUUCCUCCCUUGAGAAGCAAGAGUAGGAAGCUAAUGCUCUUACUGCUGUCUAUCAACCACUAUAUCCCAGGGUUAGGUGAAAACUCGAGACUACCUUUCUAUACAAUUCAAAGCAUCUCUGACAGAGGGCUGAAGAGCCCUGAAAGCCAUUAAGACGCCCAACUCCCUGACAGAAUGAUGCUUUACAUCCUAAAUGUGGAGAAACCAGCCAAAUCUGACCUUGACAUACAGGGCAUACAGUCUCAACUGUGGAUCAGCUGAAACAGUGGCCUCUAGGAGGGGGAAGAGCAGGCCAGCGGCGGAGCCGUGCGUCUCAGGACUAGGGAGGCCUCGGAGCUCCUCUGACCCGCUUGAUCGAGGAAAGGCGCCCUCUGACCCGCUUGAUUGAGGAAAGGCGCGGAAACCCCGGCCCGCCGCCGCCGGUGUCCACGCAUGCACGCAAGGGCAGCUGGGCGGCUCGCAGCUGUCUUGAGCUUCCGCCGCCAGUGC
ensembl:lincRNA Gm26675 predicted gene, 26675